UGUCAGACAACACUGCACGUCACCAGUAACGCAGACGGAACACUGCUCUCUUCCUGGUAUCCUGGUUAGGUGGACCAUGGCUUGCGUGUAUCAUUCAUUUACCUAUGCUACUCUCAGGGAAGAUGUAAAAACAAAUGAGAUCUGAAAUCACAGGUGAAGGCAACAAGUUGGAUGCUGACUGGGCAUCUGCUGUCACCUGUUCCUUCACUGAAGGAAAGGAGAUGAUAUGAAGUCAUGUUGGACUAUUGAGAAGUACUCUUGGAUUUAGCAAAGUCAUGUUUGUAGGUGUAGAAAGACCAUUCAGAGGACUGGAAUUCCAUCCUCCUCCUCUUUGUGUAGGUUUACCAAUGUUUAAACUGUGGUAAAGGAUCUCCAACACAGCUCAACUCAAGGAAAUACCAAUGCUGAGUACACAAAGACAACACAGAAUUGUGUUCAAUCUGACCAGGAAGCUCAUUUACUAUACUGGAAUCAAAUGCUUCAUCAUUCUACUUCAUGCCCACAUGGUGGCUCAACCCUAGCCCUAGCCUCAACCCUAACACUUACCUUAGUGUAAACAUUUCCCCACACGUGUCAACUACACUGUUAAACUUAGGUGCUUUGUAACACCAAAACUAGCUGCAACUGGGCUGCCACCAACUUGAAGGAGACAAAACUUGAACUUUGCUGGAGUUUUGAAACACAUCAUCCUGAGAUGUUUUGAAACAUUGUAACACCACUAAAUCAAGUGUUGUGCAACACCUUGCCAGGGAAUAAACACCAUUAUGAUGUUUUGAA